rnacentral:rRNA from 1 species
UCUUGGUCAAUUAGAGGAAGUAAAAGUCGUAACAAGGUCUCCGUUGGUGAACCAGCGGAGGGAUCAUUACCGAGUUUACAACUCCCAAACCCCUGUGAACAUACCUAUACGUUGCCUCGGCGGAUCAGCCCGCGCCCCGUAAAACGGGACGGCCCGCCCGAGGACCCCUAAACUCUGUUUUUAGUGGAACUUCUGAGUAAAACAAACAAAUAAAUCAAAACUUUCAACAACGGAUCUCUUGGUUCUGGCAUCGAUGAAGAACGCAGCAAAAUGCGAUAAGUAAUGUGAAUUGCAGAAUUCAGUGAAUCAUCGAAUCUUUGAACGCACAUUGCGCCCGCCAGUAUUCUGGCGGGCAUGCCUGUUCGAGCGUCAUUUCAACCCUCAAGCUCAGCUUGGUGUUGGGACUCGCGGUAACCCGCGUUCCCCAAAUCGAUUGGCGGUCACGUCGAGCUUCCAUAGCGUAGUAAUCAUACACCUCGUUACUGGUAAUCGUCGCGGCCACGCCGUUAAACCCCAACUUCUGAAUGUUGACCUCGGAUCAGGUAGGAAUACCCGCUGAACUUAAGCAUAUCAAUAAGCCGGAGGAAA